GGCUCUGGUUCGCCCUGACUCUGGUAUGCUGCUGGCAUCUCCAAGCAUUUAAUAUCUCACUCUGCCCUCUGCCAGCAUAGAUCCCCACUGCAGUGCCCGUCUGAGCCAAGAAUCUACUAAACUCAGCAAAAAUGGAGGACAGAUGUACUGAGGGCUAGGAACAGAGCCAGUUGGAUUAUAAGGUGGCAUUCCACGGAGUCCCUCCCCACAGGAGGCAGAAAGUGUGUAUAAGGGAUGCACAUAUAAACAAGAAAUUAUACUAGAGCAAUAAAUGCUGCAAAGUUGAGGUGCGCACAAUACCUGCAGAGACUCAUUGGAAGCCAUUCUUCCCCUGACAGUACAGGCUGUGGUGGAGCUCCAGGGAAGUCUGCAGCAGGAUUCCUGCUGCCUCUGCUGACAGUUGGGGAGAGGACACUAACUGGUUGUGGGGUCCCAAAGCAAUGGGAAGCUGGAGAAAAAAAGCUACAAAGAAUGGCUUUCACCUCAGAUAGCUCACUUGAGAUGUUAGUAAGAAUUGCCUCCUCAGUAUUCUAUAGCCAUGAUAAGGAGGAGGCCAAGGAGAGAAAACAAAGAGACCGAGAAAAAGCAGCUGCUUUUGCUGCACCACUAAGAGAAACAGAUCCCAGGUCUGAUUCCCGGGGCUCCAAGAAGAACUCGACAACUGCAUUCAUCUGCUACCAUGGUUAAAAGCCAGGCCACCUCAAGAGGAACUGCCCUAAGAGGCCCCAUGGGCCAUGCCCUGGAUGCAAAGGAGACCACUGGAGAUCGGUCUGCCCUCUGAGGUGGAGGCCCCAGAGCUCAGACCCAUGCUACCAGUUACUCCAACAGGAAUGAGAGGGCUUGGGGCAUGGUCUGCCUUCUCCCUCUGGCCAGACUGUCAUCUCCAGCGAGGAGUCCUGGGUAAUCAUGACUAUGGAGGAACAAGAAAACAGCUUGUUGCUAGACACAGGUGCAGGUCUCUCGGUCCUUCUUUCAGUCCUGGCCUUCCUUCCAGCCAUCAUACCUCAGUGAAAGGAGUCACUGGUGAGGAGGAACUCCACUUCAUGCCAUGGCAGCCUGAGCAUCUGCUCAUUGGGUUAUGGAAAUCGUCUCCUCUGGCAGAAAGACCAGCUUCUCAGAGAGAAGAGUCACGUUACACCAAGUAGAGGUAAGAAACAGACCCACACACUGAAUAGCUUAAUAUGAUGGACGACAGCG
rnacentral:lncRNA from 1 species